GACACUUAAGGUAACGAAUGAACUCGGUAUGAUAAUGAGAUCAUAAUGAGCUGAUACGUCAUGACAGUUGCUCCGCCUUGAUCAAUCCAUAUUUGGAUACACAUACACAAACUCUAAUUUUAGGAUCAUAUAAAAAUAUAUCGGAAUAUUGCCUUUAUUCUACGCUUAAAAUAAGUCAAAUUUCCCUGAUUUGACAACACAUCACAAGGCAUUAUGAUGAGAAAUACCCCGGUGAAGUUUGUCGUAUGGUUGGGAUCAGCGUCUAAAAUGCGCUUACUAGGCACAUGGCAAAGACGACGCGACGUUCAGAAGAUGUCAGCUGUACAACUUUGAAAUCGGAAAAAUCAAGGUAAAUUCUUGUAAUUGAAAUAAUGAUGUAUGAAUACCUGAAACCAAAGUUGUCAACAAUGAAAGUAGACAACAUUUACUGUGUUUUAUACAUUGACUCAAUACUUUAGAGGUAGUAUAUACAUAGUUUGAUGUUCCUUGUUUACAUACUGCACACGUCACACGUAGCCGAUGUGUAGCAUAUAUUAGGUGCACACACACAAAAUAGGCCUAUAUGUUAGAGAACUGAUGCUCAAAUGGUACCAGCUGUUGUUUGUUUAUAUAAACAUGAUUUACAUGAGUACAGGCGGGUAUCUAGGCAGUAAAAUCCACAGGCACCUAAAGUAUGGAUAUUACAUGUACUUACCCCCCCCUCUUUCUUUUGAUUUUUUUCUUGCUAUAAUUUCUCUGAAAUAAGUAAAUUCCCUGUCUAUCUCAUCCUUCUUUCGAUUCAAGUAAUCCUUUCACGCUUUUUGUAAGCUUCUACCGGCAUUAUUUAAUUUAUUUAUUGAUCCACCAAGCAUGUUGGCAUACAAUCAUGUUACACAAUAUGAGAUAUGUAUAUUGAUGACAAACUAAAUACUAACGGUUCAUAUGCAUAUUUGUAAAGACGUUUAUAUAUAUUUGGCAUGUACAUAUGACGUCAAACUGUAUAUAUAAUUUAGCAUUGCAUGUAUAACAUUAGCAACCUAUAAUUUAUUACAAAAUUUGUGCUCAUUUUUUUUAUACCCGGACAUGGCCAAUCUCUAAAGCUUACAAAAAGUGUGAAACGAUUACAGUACUUUAAAAAUCGAAAAAGAAAUGAGUUAGACCGGGAAUCAACACAUUUCAGAUUUAUCGCUGCAAAAAAUAUUUUCAAAAAUGGGGGUGGGGGGGGGGGGUGGCGCUAGUAUCAGUGCAUCAGGUAUCUGGUAAUAUCUUGUACAAAUGCACGUGUAACUACAUUAAUUUUGAUGCUCUAGAUUUACAGUCACAUUUAAUUUUAUCAAGUGACAUACUAGAAAGAAAAUAAAUUUGGGAUAUUUUCGUUUACAUUACAGUUUGAAUAAAUGGAAGAAAAAUAAAAGACCCUGAAUGCAUACUGAUUGCCCACAUUUUUUAUGUGUAUUUGAGACCCUUCUUUAAUACAUUGAAUGUUUGCGGCAUAUGAAUUUAUGAUAUGAGAUAAUGCUAUUUACAGAUGUGCAUACCAACAAGAAUGUGAACUUUUCAAAGAGCAUGAUAUUUCCAAUUUUCCACAUCUCUAGACCAGUGACCACAAAUGUACAUACAAGUACCCACAGAUGACAGCCAUAUUGACUCCAGUAGAUAAUAUUCAUCUCCAUCAGCUGGUUACUACGCUGUACAUAGUGGUCAAACCAGGAUAUCCACUAAUUGCAUUCAGUGAUGUGAAUUGUCAUCUACAUUUGUGCUUAUGAACUUUAGUAAACUGUCAAGUUUUAAUAUCAAGAAAAUGACUGCUGAAAAAGCAUCUAAUCUUGUGUUCUAUGAAUGUUUUCAAUUAAACACAAAACAAAAUGAGAAA